AUGAGGUUUUGCCAUAGUUGCAUUGAUUUUCUUCCAAUUGUGGUAAUGAACCCAUUUGAAAAAAUACAUGCACCACCCCCCUCACCUCCUGCACACAUGCAUGCAGCUGUGAGCAUCUAUGUCCUUAGUAUUUCACUGCUGAUUUAUGAAUAGUAAUCUUGUCAUGGUUUUCAUUAAAAUAUAUACUGUAUAUAAAAGCGCAGAUUCUCCAGAACAAAGGAUUAAGCCACAAUAAAAUCUCCUUUUUAUGCCAUUUCCUUAGAGAACUGACAACACAUUAUAACAAUAUGUCUUCUUUUUUCCUGAGACUAAAUAUCAUUUUAAAAGGUCUAUCCUCAGCCUACAGGAAAGCUUUAACAGCUCUUUCUUAUUUAAAGUGUCUUUGGAGAGAAUAUCACCCUUCCCUUGGACCUAAUUGUGGCUGUUUUCUUAAGUGUCUGCAGAACCUGGAAGGCUGCUUCUGGGAGCCUCCUGUGGCUUCCCCAGGCACACAUUUGCCAUUUUGGUCCAGGCAUGCAUAAGAGUCACAUCACUGUCUCCCUACUUGGCUUUGUUUAACACUAAGCACCUCAUUUCUACUCCAGACAUAGAACUCAGAGGCAGAAGUCCAAGGAAAUUGCUUUCCCAUACGCUAUCUUCACUCUGAAAUAUCUCCUCAGAUACGUGACAGGCUGAUUGAUUAGAAACCGUGAGCCUGGGAAUGCCUAAUUUUGUCACUACUUCUGAGAUGGCAGUCUCUCUGUGACAAUCCCAGGAAGCCCAGCUACCAGGAGGAGGCUUCCAAGAGGUCACACAAACGCAGUUUCCUUCAUGUUCCUUGUCUGACUGCAGUCCUGCUCCACAGCCUCCACCCACAAAGCCACCCCCAAAAGCACUGACCAUGAAUCUUAUGAUUCUCAUCUCAGAGAGAGAAGAAAUUCUGUUCAAGGAGACAGACAAGAAAGCAGGCAAUAACAGGUGUGUGAAAUACUAAUCUUAAUAGCAGAAGGUAAUUUUCUGAGAACAGAGCGCAGAGUCGUUAAAUUGGAUGUGAAUACGAGGAGAGUAUCAGGAAGUGAGAUCUUAAAUGAAAGCUGAAGGCUUAGAAGAAAUUAGCCAAGGAGACGUGCAGGAAAAGACAAUCCAGGAAAAGAGAACUGACUGUGCAGAGAUCAGUCAACUGUUCAGCAGAGCUGGAAUGUGAAGUGGGAGAAUAUAGAAAGAAGCAAAGACAGAAUCCAGCACCAUCCAAUCAAGAAGGAUUUGUAUGUAAGGAAACUCCUUGCAAAGCAUCCAUGAAUUAAAAGAAAUUUUGUCCCCAAGACAACCUUCUUGUACAUAGAUAAAUUCCCAAAGAAUGGUAUUUGGAAGUUGAGAAGAGAUAUUUAGCUUAUUCAUAGCUAGAAGGUCAUUAAGGAGGCCUUGAUGCUAGACUUUGAAGAUGAGGUGGAAUUUAAAAGAAGAGGAUCAGCAAAAGGAAGUGUUGAAAGGCAUGAAAUUCUUAAUUGGACUUUUUUUUUCUUCCUUUUUUUUUUUUUUAAGACAAAGUCUCCGUCUGUCACCCAGGCUGGAGUGCAGUGGUGCGAUCUCGGCUCACUGAAGUCUUAACCUCCCGGGUUCAAACGAUUCUUGUUCCUCAGCCUCCUGAGCAGCUGGGAUUACAGGUGUGUACCACCAUGGCCAGCUAAUCUUACCUGGACUUUUAAAACUAUCUCUUCCUCUGACAAAAAUGAGUAUAAUUUCUCAAUUUCUAAACUUAAAAAUAUUGGGGAGGAAUAUACAAUUAGGUAAAAAGUAACAGACUUAAACUUUUAUAGCACUCAUAUUUCCCUCUCUCACAGGUUAUUUAGUAUAUUUUCUCAUUAUUUUGGUUAUAACUUAAGCCAGCAGUAAUCUUGCUUUUAACUUGAGUGUUGACCUAAAAUUUCCAGCUACACUUUCACUCGAACUUUAUACAAGUGAAUCUGAACUACAUGCGCCUUUCAAAUCUCUUAUACACAUUUUUCACGGCAUGUGGCCCUUACUCUGACACGUUGACACUUUACUUCAAACUUUACAGCCCACUGUAUUUUCAUUCACAAGGAAAUGUGUCUCACCAACAGGUUAUAAAAUCAAUACUCUUUUUCAUACACUUCCAGUAUAGCAGAGUUUAAUGUAAGUUAUUUUUCCCCAAAUUCUAGUCAAGACAUUUUAGCUAAAAAAGGUUUAAAUGGCAUUAUAACAAAGCACUUUCCUUAUCAGAUAGGUUAAAAUGACAUAUCCUGACAUAUUAUUAUCAAAAGGUUUUGUUCCUUGUUAUUACACAUUAUUUUUUCUCAGUAUGUAUUGCUGAAUUUAACCCAUAAUACGAACCAAAAAUACUGGUAACAACAUCUUCAAUUACGCCACUUAUCUCUUAUCUUGUAAGUUGGAAUUAGAAAAUCAGAAAUGCCCUGAAUUCUGAACAAAUAAUGAGAUUAGUUACGCAGUCAUUCCUAUGCUAAGCUAAUGUUGCUGAAAACCCAAGUACAACUGUGCAAAGGGUUUUUCACUGUUUACAUACAGACUGCACUGCCCUUCUUUAUUUUGACUAUUUGCACUUCCUAAAAAUUAAUGGUUUUAUUUCUUUUCUGUUCAUACAUAGUUAUUUCCUAUUAUUUCUAGCAAUCACUCUUUUUGAAAUACCAUGCGAGCUCCCUACUCAUGUCCAUAACGCAUGCCCAUUUUCAUGGUCUCUGCAUUUGACUACAACAGCUUGCCAAUUAAACUUUGCCAGGUCCCCACAUCUCAGUGUUCAAAAGAUCCUCUACAAUCCCACCUGCUCUGUGAAGCUUCUCAGCCAUAAAAAGCACUCACUGGGCCAUGUUUGUUCAGCCUUGUGCUGUACUUGCUUACAACCACUGGGCUAUAUCUUGUUUGCUGGAAAGCCGGUCUUUUCCCUGAUACGGCUUGCUUUGGCCCCAUUCUGCUUUUUUUAUACUAUGUGUAUUUAAAUAAUAAGACAGAAGCUGGUGAUCACAGGGGCCCUCAUUUCAGAUUAUCAAGUGUAAAUUAGCCAAGUGUUUUGAUAGCUCUUAAUUAUUGACAACAGACAGUCUCAUGGAAGAGCUUGCAUAAGCCACACGUCUAGGUAAUAUGAAACCUCGCUCCAGGCCUUGGCAAUUACAUCUCUGCUGAGAUAUGGGGCUGAGGGGUGUACUGCCAGGUGUCCACCACAUAGGACAGAAUUUGUGGAUUAGCAAAAAAAAGUGAGAGCUAAUGAGUUGCAAUGAGGGCUUUCAUUAGCAGUGUUGUAUUAGUGCAUAAUUUGGAGACCACUUUCCAAAAGGCUCUAAAAAUUGCCUGAGAAAUCACUGGGUGCACAAUAAAAAUUAUUGAGAGAAAGACGGCUGGCUUACUCAGACACUGCCAGAGUUUGUUUGUUUUGGUGUUCCUCGAGAGCCUUGGUUUCAUGCUCUGCUCUUCGCAGAAGCCUCUCUUGGGAAUAGGCUUUUCCUCUUUCCUCCUUUCUCCAUCAAUAUUCUCCACAAAUAAAGCACUGUAUAAUAGUUUUUUGUACUAAUGCUUAAGCCCUCCUCUUAUUUAACUUGCAGGUUUAUUAAGAUAUAAGAUGUCAAGAUGUUUCUGCUGAAUAAAAGAGAUUUUUUUUUGUUUAUAGUUUUCACAUGCACACAUACACACACACAGUUAUUGAGAAUGUCCCAUGAUUUACUUUUAUUACCCAUUUAUUCUUAAUGAUGUUAAUGUUAUCUUCAUUGUGCAUAAAAGGGAAGAG
rnacentral:lncRNA from 10 species